UCCAGGGUAGCCUAGUGGACAUGGCAUCAUGCCGGUAAGCGGAACACUGUGGGUUCGAUUCCCAUCCCUGGAC
rnacentral:tRNA from 1 species